AAUGAACGCUGGCGGCAGGCCUAAAACAUGCAAGUCGAACGAUGUAGCAAUACAGAGUGGCGCACGGGUGAGUAACAUGUGGGAAUAUGCCUUUUGGUACGGAACAACGUUUGGAAACGAACGCUAAUACCGUAUGGUCCCUUCGGGGUAAAGAUUUAUCGCCAAAAGAUUAGCCCGCACUAGAUUAGCUAGUUGGUAAGGUAAUGGCUUACCAAGGCGACGAUCUAUAGCUGGUCUGAGAGGACGAUCAGCCACACUGGGACUGAGACACGGCCCAGACUCCUACGGGAGGCAGCAGUUAGGAAUAUUGGACAAUGGGCGCAAGCCUGAUCCAGCCAUGCCGCGUGAACGAUGAAGGCCUUCGGGUUGUAAAGUUCUUUAGCCGAUGAUUAUAAUGACUGUAGUCGGAAAAUAAGCCCCGGCUAACUUCGUGCCAGCCGCCGCAGUAA
rnacentral:rRNA from 1 species